rfam:Equus caballus chromosome 20, whole genome shotgun sequence.
CUAAAGGCCCUUUUCAGGGCCACCUACAUUUUCUACGGAAGAGCUG